ACGAAGCACUUUAUUUGAUUUCCUUCGGGACUGAUUAUUUUGUGACUGAGUGGCGGACGGGUGAGUAACGCGUGGGUAACCUGCCUUGUACAGGGGGAUAACAGUUGGAAACGGCUGCUAAUACCGCAUAAGCACACAGCAUCGCAUGAUGCAGUGUGAAAAACUCCGGUGGUAUAAGAUGGACCCGCGUUGGAUUAGCUAGUUGGUGAGGUAACGGCCCACCAAGGCGACGAUCCAUAGCCGACCUGAGAGGGUGACCGGCCACAUUGGGACUGAGACACGGCCCAAACUCCUACGGGAGGCAGCAGUGGGGAAUAUUGCACAAUGGGCGAAAGCCUGAUGCAGCGACGCCGCGUGAGCGAAGAAGUAUUUCGGUAUGUAAAGCUCUAUCAGCAGGGAAGAUAAUGACGGUACCUGACUAAGAAGCACCGGCUAAAUACGUGCCAGCAGCCGCGGUAAUACGUAUGGUGCAAGCGUUAUCCGGAUUUACUGGGUGUAAAGGGAGCGCAGGCGGUGCGGCAAGUCUGAUGUGAAAGCCCGGG
rnacentral:rRNA from 1 species